UACCGUCACACGUUUUCGAUCGACACGCGUUUCUGAUCGCUCAUUUGUAAUUGCAAUAGUGCGAGAAUGCGCGAGCAUUGACGUCACCACAAGAACGAAAACGAACACGGAAGUCACUGCUUUUGUUCCGAGAGAAAAAUGCUGCGUGUCAAGUUUCCAAUGGCCGUGAUCAACCGACCAAAUGUAAAUUACAGACAAUACAAUCACCAGUCUUUAGAAAAUGCAUAUGAGGCGGUUAAAACUCAGGGAAUGCCGAUUAAAAAAGCAGCUAGGAUUUGUUCAGUGCCAUACUCCACCUUGCACGACCGUCUAAGUGGAAAAACGGACAUCGAUUGUGUUAAGUCAGGACCAGACCCUUUGUUGUCUCAAGAAGAGGAGCAAACUUUAGUGACACAUGUUGAGUUUAUGUCAUCUGUGGGCUUUGGGUAUACCCGCACUGAAGUACUUAAUAUUGCCACAGACCUUGCUGUUCAUCUUGGCAAAAGAGAAAAGGGUGAAAAACCAUUUUCCCUGCGAUGGUUUUAUGGGUUUAUGAAGCGAUGGCCCGAGCUUAGAGUUCAAAAACCACGAUCACUUGAAAUCAUGCGUGCCAAAGCAACAUCAAAAGAUACCAUCAACAAAUACUUUGAUAGCCUGGAACAGAUUUUAGACAAGUAUGAUUUACGAAACAGUCCAGAGUCCAUCUACAACAUUGAUGAAAAAGGCAUCGUAGAAAAUCACAAACCCCCAUCUAUUGUUGCAUCACGUUCCAAUGUCCCAGUUGCUGUAACAACGAGCAGGUCCAACACUACUACGGUUAUUGGGUGUGGAAAUGCCCUUGGUGUUGCCAUACCACCGUAUUUUGUUUUCAAGGGAAAGCGCAUGCGGGAGGAAUUGUUAGCAGGUUGUACGGCAGGCACUGCAGGAACCGUUAGUGAAACGGGUUGGUCGAAUACUGGUAUUUUUCAAAAGUAUCUUAAAGAACAUUUUUCAAAGUAUGUUCCAGCAGCAUCUUCUGACAAGCCUGUCUUAAUUCUUUAUGAUGGUCACACGUCACACAUAAAUGUUUCCCUGAUCCAGUGGGCACGAGAGAGGCACAUAAUAUUAUUUGUAUUACCUGCUCACACAUCGCAUGUUCUUCAGCCAAUGGAUGUGGGAUGUUUCGGCCCGUUCGAACGCAUUUACAAUGGCAUGAGACAUACCUACAUACGCGAACAUGCAACAUCGGGUAUUGACAGACAUUCCCUUUGUGAGACUGUCUGCAAAGCUUACUGUGCAGCACUCACACCCGCCAACCUGCAGUCAUCGUUCAGAAAGACCGGGAUUUAUCCAUUUCAUAGAGACGUUAUACAGCCUUCAACAUUCCUGCCUUCAGCUGUUUUAAGCAACAACAUGGAGUCAGAAAAUGAAUCACAAACCAGGGCAACUGUCAACUGUGAAGACAAUUCAUCAAAAUGCAAGACGUUUUUCACAACUGCAGAAGAAGUGAUCACAAGAAAACCAAAACCUACUAAGAAGAGGAAAGUACUCAGUGCUGUGGUCAGUGGUAAAGCCAUCACGGAAGAUUUGGUUUUGGAAGAUAUCAGGGAACAUCAAAAGAACAAACAAAACAAGGAAGGAUUGCAGAAAAGAAAAUGUACAAAAUCAAAGAAAACUGAAGAUUCACCAAAACCAAGUACGUCAGGAAUUCUUUUCCCACCCAGUGCUAACACAAAACAGCAGCUUGAAGAUGAAGACGAUACAUCGGAGGAAUCUGACGACCCUAGCGAUCUUUGCUGCAAGUGCAAGAAGAGCCAACCAGACGAAUACAAACACUGUGUUUCACUUUGCUUCGUUUCGUGGGCACAGUGCACCUAUCCGGCAUGUCAGCAUUGGGUACAUUUAAAAUUAUGCACUCCAGUUAGGGUUGUACGGAGACAUUCCGAAUUUUGGUGUCCUUGCCAUAAUGAAAUGGAAGAGUAAUAAUCACUGGAGUAAAAAGAAACUGAAAAAAAUUAUGUAAAAUAUGUUAAACGUUUAGCCUAAAUUUUUCUUUAUUCUGAAAGUUAAGUAACAUUGAUUGAAAGUUACAAACAUUUUUAAAUCAGUUAUAUAACGUGGAAUUAAGUGUAAAAUAUGACAUCAAUAGUGCUCCAUACAACGCAACAGCGACCGAGAAAAUAGCCGACCAACGAAACGAUCGAAAACAUGUGACGUUAUUAAAAUACAGAGGAAAUUCCUUUACGACAAAGCAAGACGUUUUCUCCAAGGAUAUUAUGGAAUUCAUUGCGGAUUACUGGUGUUUUAUGUGGUAAAGUAUUGUGGCAACAGUUGACUUGACUGGAAGUAGCACGGCCACCUUCUGACACUAUGGAUUGAGGGUCACCUUCUGACACUGUGGAUUGAGGGUCACCUUCUGACACUAUGGAUUGAGGGUAACCUUCUGACAUUAUGGAUUGAGGGUAACUUUUGACACUGUGGAUUGAGGGUCACCUUCUGACACUGUGGAUUGAGGGACAUCUUCUCACACUAUGGAUUGAGGGUAACUUUUGACAUUAUGGAUUGAGGGUCAACUUCUGACACUGUGGAUUGAGGGUCAACUUCUGACACUGUGGAUUGAGGGUCAACUUCUGACACUGGAUUGAGGGUAACUUCUGACACUGGAUUGAGGGUCACUUCUGGCACUAUGGAUUCAGGGUCACCUUCUGACACUGUGGAUUGAGGGUAACUUCUGACACUACGGAUUGAGGGUCAGCUUCUGACACUAUGGAUUGAGGGUCACCUUCUGACACUGUAGAUUGAGGGUCAACUUCUGACACUGGAUUGAGGGUCACCUUCUGACACUAUGGA